CCCGGGACCGGGAUCAUGACAGCUGAGACUUGGAACGUGGCCGGAGCAGAGGCCCCGCAGCCCCCGAAGCGCUACUACCGGCGACAUGCUCACUCCAACCCCAUGGCAGACCACACACUGUGCUAUCCUGGGAAGCCAGAGGAGAUGGACUGGUCUGAGCUAGACCCAGAGUUCUUCGUUCCACUCGCUCAAAAUCAGAGCCACGAUGACCCAAAGGAUAAGAAAGAAAAGAGAGCUCAGGCCCAAGUGGAGUCUGCAGACAUAGGCUGUGGCUAUGGUGGCCUGUUAGUGGAACUAUCACCACUGUUCCCAGACACACUGAUUCUGGGUCUGGAGAUCCAGGUGAAGGUCUCAGACUACGUACAAGACCAGAUUUGGGCCCUACGCACAGCUCCUGGAGGCGGCUUCCAGAACAUUGCCUGUCUCUGUAGCAAUGCCAUGAAGCACCUUCCUAACUUCUACAAGGCCAGCUGACAAAGACGUUCUUCCUCUUCCCCGACCCACAUUUCAAGCAGACAAAGUACAAGUGGCAAAUCAUCAGUCCCACUCUGCUAGCAAAAUAUGCCUAUGUGCUGAGAGUUGGGGGGCUGGUAUGUACCAUAACCCAUGUGCUGGAGCUACACGACUGGAUAUGCACCCAUUUUGAAGAGCACCCGCUGUUUGAGCGUAUGCCUCUGGAGGACCUGAGUGAAGACCCCAUUGUGGGACAUCUAGGUACCUCAACUGAGGAGGGGAAGAAAAUUCUACGUAAUGGAGGGAAGAAUUUCCCAGCCAUCUUUCAAAGAAUACAAGAUCCCAUCCUCCAGGCAGUGACCCCCCAAACCAGCCUGCCUGGUCACUGA